GGCUCAGAGUGAAUGCUAAUGGUAUGCAUGAUACAUGCGAGUCGAACGAAGUACAAGCGUACUUAGUGGCGUACGGGUGAGUAAAAUGGAAGAACUUACCUUUUAGUUCUGGAUAAAUGGUUAGUUCCGUAAUAAAUACAGAAUAGGUGAUAAAGAAGUAGUUCGCUAAAAGCAAGGCUUCCAUAAGAUUAGGUAGUUGGUGUGGUAACUGCAUACCAAGCCAAAGAUCUUUAGCUGGUCUGAGAAGGACGGCCAGCCACACUGGGACUGAAACAAGGCCCAGACUUCCUCGGAAGGCAGCAGUAAGGAAUAUUGGACAAUGGGCGUAAGCUUGAUCCAGCAAUACCAAGUGAAUGAAGAAGGUCUUUUGAUCGUAAAAUUCUAAAAUUAAGGAGGAUAAUGACGUGUACUUAAUUAUUAGUCCCGGCUAACUUCGUGCCAGCAGCCGCGGUAAUACGGGGGGGACAAGUGUUACUCAUAAUGACUGGGCGUAAAGGGUACGUAGGUUGUUUAAAGAGGCUUAUGUAAAAGUUUAGCGUAGCUGUUAGUUAGCAUAAGUGCCCUUUAAACUUGAGUUUAACAGGGGAAAAUGGUAUUUUUAGUGUAAAGGUGAAAUUUGUCGAUACUAAAAAGACGACCAAAAGCGAAGGCAAUUUUCUGGGUUAAAACUGACACUGAGGUACUGAAGCGUGGGGAGCGAAUUGGAUUAGAUACCCAAGUAGUCCACGCCGUCAACGAUGAGCGCUGUUUAUUGGACUGUAUAAAUAGUUCAGUUAACCAGCUAACGCGUUAAGCGCUCCGCCUGGGGACUACGGUCGCAAGAUUAAAACUCAAAGGAAUUGCGGGGAAGCUGAACAAGUGGUGGAAUAUGUGGUUUAAUUUGAUAUAACGCGAAAAACCUUACCAACUCUUGA
rnacentral:rRNA from 1 species